GCAGUCGAGCGGACAGAUGGGAGCUUGCUCCCUGAUGUUAGCGGCGGACGGGUGAGUAACACGUGGGUAACCUGCCUGUAAGACUGGGAUAACUCCGGGAAACCGGGGCUAAUACCGGAUGGUUGUUUGAACCGCAUGGUUCAAACAUAAAAGGUGGCUUCGGCUACCACUUACAGAUGGACCCGCGGCGCAUUAGCUAGUUGGUGAGGUAACGGCUCACCAAGGCAACGAUGCGUAGCCGACCUGAGAGGGUGAUCGGCCACACUGGGACUGAGACACGGCCCAGACUCCUACGGGAGGCAGCAGUAGGGAAUCUUCCGCAAUGGACGAAAGUCUGACGGAGCAACGCCGCGUGAGUGAUGAAGGUUUUCGGAUCGUAAAGCUCUGUUGUUAGGGAAGAACAAGUACCGUUCGAAUAGGGCGGUACCUUGACGGUACCUAACCAGAAAGCCACGGCUAACUACGUGCCAGCAGCCGCGGUAAUACGUAGGUGGCAAGCGUUGUCCGGAAUUAUUGGGCGUAAAGGGCUCGCAGGCGGUUUCUUAAGUCUGAUGUGAAAGCCCCCGGCUCAACCGGGGAGGGUCAUUGGAAACUGGGGAACUUGAGUGCAGAAGAGGAGAGUGGAAUUCCACGUGUAGCGGUGAAAUGCGUAGAGAUGUGGAGGAACACCAGUGGCGAAGGCGACUCUCUGGUCUGUAACUGACGCUGAGGAGCGAAAGCGUGGGGAGCGAACAGGAUUAGAUACCCUGGUAGUCCACGCCGUANACGAUGAGUGCUAAGUGUUAGGGGGUUUCCGCCCCUUAGUGCUGCAGCUAACGCAUUAAGCACUCCGCCUGGGGAGUACGGUCGCAAGACUGAAACUCAAAGGAAUUGACGGGGGCCCGCACAAGCGGU
rnacentral:rRNA from 1 species